GAGGGCCUGGAGACCUAGAUUCCUGGGUCCACAGGAAGCAGGAUGAGGCCAGGGCCCAAAGGUCUGAUCACCAAGAGGGAAGGAAACCAGAAAUCUGAGGGUUGCCAUGUGGAAGACACAGCAGAAUGGUCCGGGCAGAGGAAGCAAUUGCUUUCGGGGAAGGCUCAUCGGAUGAGAUGUCAACACCAAGGUCUCCCUUCCCACCCACCCUGAGCCUGCCCACCGGGGAAUUCCAGCAGCUGUCCAGAGGAAGGGAGAGGGGAAGGCAAGUGAGGGCGAGGAGGCCGGGUCAGCAAGGCCCUACGUCCAGCAGCAUAAGGACGGAAACUACUCUUAGCACAGAGUCUGACCCGUGGGCCUGGAUUCUGAGGUCCCAGAGGAGCCUCCCGGGCUGGACUUUGGCUCUGCCACAGCACCACCCAGCUCCACGCCCGUCCCCUGCUCCCUUUUCAACCUCUCCCACAGCCCCCAGGCCCAGGACUCGGGAGUGCCAGAGGGAGCAGGUUCAGGACAGGGCAGGUUCCUCACUGGAGAAAGAGAAAGAGAGAAAGAGAGAGGAAGAGAGAAAGAGAGAGGUUCGUGGCUCUCUACUUGCGCUGCAGAGCCCGGCAUGUGGGGCUACCUGUCCCUGCUGCCUGCUUUCCUGGCCGUCUGGGCUAUCACUGGAGUCUGGACUGUUGGCCAACAGGGCUGUGAACCUCACCGAGGGUUUCCCCUAUAUCAGAGCUGCAUCUUCAGCCAGCUGCUCAACAUGGGAGCUGCUAUGGGAGUCCGGGUCCGGGGCUCCCGCCCACUUCCCUCUCCUCCCAGCCGCCUGGAUCUGCAUUAUCCGUUACCACCAGCUCCGGGACUUGGGGGUCGGAAAGUGGUUUAACCUGCUGAUCCUGUGGACCGGACUCCUGUGUGCCCUGGGCACCUCCGUGGUGGGCAAUUUCCAGCAAAAGAACCAGCUGCCCACGCACCUGACAGGGGCCUUCUUCGCCUUCUUCGUGGGCAACCUGUACUUCUGGAUGCAGCAUUUACUCUUCUGGUGGAUGAAGAGCCUGCCCCAGCCUGGGCCUCCCUGGAUCGGGCCACUCCGCCUGGGCCUCUGCAGCCUCUGCACCAUCCUCAUGGUGACCAUGGUCAUCCUCCACUCCUGGCUGCUGCGCUCGGCCUCCGCCGCCUGCGAGUGGGCCGUGGCCAUGCUGCUGUUCACGCUCUUUGGCCUGUUUGCUGUGGACUUCUCCGGCCUGGACGGCUGCACCCUGACUCUCCGGCCGGGCCCCAGCCUCAGCUCUCCACCCGCCUCCCCCCUCUCCCUGCAGAUCCCCCUGUGAACGGCAGUCCGCUCGGUGUGGUCUGACCCCGGCGCUGCGAUCGAUCGCGGCCACCCGGGAAAGACACGGACGCAGGCAGGGUCACGCGAAACCAGAAUUCCUUCCGGAGAGCAAAUCCGUACAGAAGGUUGUUGAGGGAAGGGGAGAACCGGGGAAGGGGGGGCCCGGGGAAGGAGGAGUUGGGGAACACAGGGACAGAUGGCCCUCUCCGUCCGGAUCUGCUAAGCCACCCCAACCAGCCCCCGUCCCUCCCCCACCCCGCCCCGCAGAGAGAUUGAUCAAUAAAUAAAAUAAUAAAUUAAUCAAUAAAUAAAA